AGCGUCUCAACUUCACUCUGUGAACUGAUGAGAUUUCUUAACAUAGAAUGAGAAAACUUCGCCAAACCAGUAUCCUACGACUUUAAGGAAUACAUCAAGAGGAGGCCUAGCUGAACAGCUGCAAUCGAUUAUGGCACUGCACGAUCCAAACUGGACACUGGAGUUUUACAUAGAUCUGGCACUUCAACUGUGGAUCUGCCUUUACUGUGGGUGUUAUGGAUGAGGAACACCACAAUCCUGCAGUAUCUCCCACUCCAGAGUAUCUUCCCAAGAUGGCUGCCAGUCGAGAAAUUUUCCACAAAAUGGCUGCCGUCCAGAGUGUCGUUGCAUCAUGGCUGCCAUUCCAUAAUCUCAUCACGACAUGGUCACCAGCCAAGCGCCUCUGCACAAGAUGGCCACUAGCAGUCCUGCAUUAUCUCCCACUCCAGAGUGUCUUCCCAAGAUGGCUGCCAGUCGAGAAAUUUUCCACAAAAUGGCUGCCGUUCCGGAAUGUCGUCGCAUCAUGGCUGCCAUUCCAGAGUCUCAUCACGACAUGGUCGCCAGCCAAGCGCCUCUGCA